rnacentral:rRNA from 1 species
GUGUCCGCGUUGUAAUUUUGUGAGGCAUCUCCGGGUAGGGCGCCGGCCUAAGUUCCUUGGAACAGGACGUCACAGAGGGUGAGAAUCCCGUGCUUGGCUGGCUGUCCCCGUCCAUGUGAGGUGUCUUCGACGAGUCGAGUUGUUUGGGAAUGCAGCUCAAAAUGGGUGGUAAAUUUCAUCUAAAGCUAAAUAUUGGUGGGAGACCGAUAGCGCACAAGUAGAGUGAUCGAAAGAUGAAAAGCACUUUGAAAAUAGAGUUAAAAAGUACGUGAAAUUGUUGAAAGGGAAGCGCUUGAGACCAGACUUCGGUAAGGGGUGAUCAGCCGUCCUUCUGGGCGGUGCACUUGCCCCCCUCCGGGCCAGCAUCGGUUGAGGCGGCGGGAUAAAGGUCCCGGGAAUGUGGCUCCUUCACGGGAGUGUUAUAGCCCGGGUGAAUGCCGCCAGCUUCGACCGAGGACCGCACCCGCAAGGGUUAGGAUGCUUGGCAUAAUGGUCUUCAGCGACCCGUCUUGAAACACGGACCAAGGAGUCUAACAUCUAUGCGAGUGUUUGGGUGUCAAACCCUUGCGCGAAAUGAAAGUGAACGGAGGUGGGAACCCGCAAGGGUGCACCAUCGACCGGUCCCGAAGUCUUCUGAAGGAUCUGAGUAGGAGCAUAGCUGUUGGGACCCGAAAGAUGGUGAACUAUGCCUGAAUAGGGUGAAGCCAGAGGAAACUCUGGUGGAGGCUCGCAGCGGUUCUGACGUGCAAAUCGAUCGUCAAAUUUGGGUAUAGGGGCGAAAGACUAAUCG